CGCAAGUAUUAGUAUUAAGAGUAUUUGUGGAAUCCGUUUUAUUGUUAUUCAAAUCGGUACAUGCCCUAAUAGGGCAGGGAUUUAAGAAGGUGGAAAACUUUCCUUUGCAAUGCAGGGAUAAAACAGGAGUUUGUGGAAGAAUACGCUCAACUUUUUGAGGAAAGUUGAUUAAGACUUUGAUGAGUUUUGUGAAGUGACAUACAUGUAAAAAGCAAGG